ensembl:lncRNA
CUUUCCUUGGCUCACAACUGACUCCUCUGUCUGUCCUUGCUAUCAGAUGGCAUCCUUCCUGUGAAGGUCUUCACACUGAGUCAUCCUUUGAGGACACCAGGCAUACUGGGUUAAGGGCCCACCCUGCUACUCUGGUGUGACCCUAUCUUAACUAAUGUAAUUACAAGUACCCUGUUUUCAUGGAGAGUCACAUUCUGAGAUACUGGGGUUAGAACUCUGGUGAAAUGUGAAAUGUCCCCCAAAGGGAGUGGCACUAUUAGGAGGUGUGGUUUUGUUGGAGUAGGUGUGACCUUGCUGGAUGAAGUGUGUCACUGGGGGGUGGGCUCUGAGUACUCCCAGUGUCAUAGUCAACUUCCUGUUGCCUUCUAAUCAAGAUGUAGCCAGCACCAAUUCUGCCUGCCUGCCGCCAUGCUCCCCACCAUGAUGAUAAUGGACUGAACCUCUGAAACUAGCACAUGUGGAGAUCAGAGGGCAACUUUGAAGAGGUGGUUCUCUCAUCCCAAGGUGUGCAUCCUGGGAUCAAACUGGGGUCAUCAGGUUUGACAGCAAGAACACUUAGGCACUAAACCCAUCUCGCUAGUCCAGCUUCCUGCUUCCUUCCGGCUCCGCUGUUUUCGCACUGCUCACUGAAACACGAGAUGAACUUCCUGUGACAUAAAUCCUACUGCAACCCCACUGGACUCUCCUGAGAGAUGUGCUCCAUCUCUGUGCGCCAUGGGCCUCUGUUUCCACAUGUACAAGAAGCCUGGAUAAAAUCUACCAUGUAGGAUUGAAAUUACUAGCAUAGUGCUUGGUUAUUGGUGGUUAUUAAUAUGAUCUGCAACUUCUCCUCCACAGACUGCAGCCUCCUAGGGAUUAGGGACCAGGUUGUUCAUUUCUAGACCCCCUGAAGCUUGCCGCCUUUCAGCCGAGCAAUACAUGUUUACAGGAUAGCAUGGGAGAGGACCAUUCUGCCUAACUGUGCCUGAGCAUCUGCUGUUCACAGCCCCGUGGAUCUCAGACAGCUUGUAUGAGUGAUCCUUAUUCCGUCCAAGAUGCCAGCCUCCAACUGGCUCCUUUGUUCACCAGGACUUAGAACUGUCAGCAGAGUAAAGGGUGACCUUCACACAGACUCUCCUGCUGCUGCCAUGAGAACAAAGACACAGAAAGAAGAAAAUGAGCAUCUUACUCAGGAACAUUCUAGAAUGUGGCAAUAAGGAUGGGGGAGGGAAACAGUUUCCCGGGCUGGUUCGCAGGGGAACCCUGGCUCAAGGUCUGGUUCUGGGAAUCCAUGGGGUAGAAGUGACUUCUUGCAAAUGGGUCACGCUACUACGCAUAUGGUGCAUGUGGGUGGAACAUAAAUGUGACUUUUGCCUCUUUUCAGAGGUCAGGUUUGUUGAGAGGUUUCAAAUGACCUGGAAAGUCCAUCCAAUGUCUACUCUUAUGGGGUGAGAGGCUAUAACCCUGCAAUGCAGACAUUUAGCCAGAGCUGAGACGACUUACCCCUAGGCCAGGACACCAACCAAACAAGGCCUCACACUCACCCUUGGGGGAAACCAACAAAGCAGUGGCUGUGGGCAGCGGUCAGUUUAGUCACUGGAAAUAAAAGCUUUUGAGCCCGCCUGAGCUACCAGACAGCUCUCAGUUCAUUUCUAAAAUUGGAAAAUAAUGUUUGCCUUCCCAAUCGUACCUCCCUUUCGCAGAGCAAGCCAAGUGUCCUCUGGUCCACUACAGCCUGCUGAGUGGCACCCUGCAGCCCUGCAGCCCUGCAGCCCUUCCAGCUUAUCUAUAUGACACUUGCUGUAAUUUUUCUUCUGUAUUAUUAUUAUUUAUGGAAGUCUCUUGCCCUCUCAUCCCACUACAAAAGCCUCUAAGGUCAGAUAAGAAACGUGUCUGGUUCCCUCUAGUACGCUGUGCCAUCCAUGCUGUAGGGAAUUCUGGGAAUAUCCUUCGAGGGAACGAAGGAACAGUGAAGUAAUAAUCUAACUUGAGUUUCCAAAAAGUUUGAAAUGCUUUAAAAAUAGUAAGUGUAGCUGGGCGUUGAUGGUGCACGCCUUUAAUCCCAGCACUCGGGAGGCAGAGGCAGGCGGAUCUCUGUGAGUUCCUGGUCUCCAGAGCAAGUGCCAGGAUAGGCUCCAAAGCUACACAGAGAAACCCUGUCUCGGAAAAAAAAAAAAAAAAGUAAGUGUAAUCAUGUAAAGACUAAAAUUUUCUAAGCACUUUGGGAACCAUAACUCCCUGGAGGGUAAGGAAGAGGAUUUCUCUCUUUUUCUGUGUGUCUGCAUCUGUACGUAUGCAUUUAUAUGUGUGUUCCAGUGCUUGUGGGCAUGUGUGUGGAGGUGCAAGGUUGACACUGGGAGUCUUCCUCGAUUGGUCUCCACCUUAUUCUUGAUACAGGGCUCACUUGAACCUAGAGCUCUCAGAUGGGGUACGUUUAGCUAGCAGCUUGAUCUGAGGGUUCCCUUUCUCCACCUUCCAGGCACUGGAAUUGGGUCUCCACACCAAUCUGGCAUUUAUGUGGGGUCUGAAAAUCCAAAUCCCCAUCCUCAAGUUUGUGUGGCAAGUGAUUUAACCACUGAGCCAUCUCCAGGGCUCCCCCACUUCUUUUAAGCAUGCCCGGCUAUUCUCCAAACUGCUCAAAGAACUGUACUGUAGUUUUAAAUCCUUUCAGAUCUUCAUUGCUUGACACAUUUCACCACUUCCCUUUUUUUUUUUUAAAGAUGGAAUUAUCUUUACUAUUUUGAAUAUUAAGAAGAGGCCCAUGCAUAAUGCAAACAACUAAACAGCAUGAAAUAGAAAGUAUAACAUAUUACUGGGUCCAUUUCCAAGAGGUUACUUAUUGGUGUCCUUUUAUAGUUUUAAUGCAAUGUGAUACACAGCAUCUUGGUAGUUCCUGAUUCAUUCUACCUGAAUUGGCUUUUAAAAACUAGCGCAAUGUCAUGGCCUUCUUCGCACACGGACACACAUAGGUCCCAUUGUUCUUCAGCAGCACACAGUUUCUCUCUCUCUUUCUCAUUUUUUUUUUUUUUGGUUUUAUUUUUCGAGACAGGGUUUCUCUGCAGCUUUUGAGGCUGUCUUAGAACUCACUUAGUAGACCAGGCUGGCCUCGAACUCACAGAGAUCCACCUGUCUCUGCCUCUCUGCUUGGUCUAAAGGUGUGCGCCACCACCACAAACUUCAGGCAGAUUUUGAUUUUCUGCUGUUACAGGAUGCCCUGCAGUGAAAUCCUUUCACAUAAAUCUUUGCCAUGUGUUUCUUCAGCUACCCUUAAAUGUAGAACUUUUGGGUUCAAGGGUACAGCAUUUAACAUUUUGAAAGCCACAUUUUCUGGGAAGGGAAGAAGGGGCGGGGGGAGGAGAACAAGAGGACUGAGAUGGGAAAAAUAGAGGAGGGCAAGAAAGGAGAUGCCUUGAUAGAGGGAGACAGUACAGGUCUGGAGAGAGGUCUGGCACAGGGGAAAUGUUAGGGGAUCCACAGGGAUGACCCCAACUAAGAAUCCAAGCAGCGGUGGAGAAAAUGCCAUUGAUGCCCUUCCCCUAUAAUGAGAUUGGUGUCUACCUUGGUUACCAUUCCUAGAGCCUUCAUCCAGUAGCUGUUUGAAGCAGAAACAGGCACCCACAGCUAAGCACUGAACCAUACCCCUGGAAUCCAAUUGUGGAGAGGGAGGAGGGAUGAGCAAAGCAGCCAAGAUGGUGCUGCACAAACAGUUGACCUGACCUAGUGAGAGCAUGGAGACUCUAGUCAUAAAGUUGUGGAAACAGCAUUGGACCGAACCAAGCCCUCUGAAUAUGGGUGCCAGCUAGGAGGACAAGACAAUCUAUGGGACCUCUAACAGUAGAGCCAGUCUUUAACUCUAGAGCACAAAUGGACUUUGGGAGCCCAUUCCCUAUGGAGGGAUACUAUUGCAGCCCAGAUACAGCAAGGAGGGCCUAGGCCCUCCCCCAAUGAUAUGACAGACUUUGAAGGUCCCUGGUGGAGGGCCUCACUAUCCCUGGGGAUGAGUUGGGGGAUGGGUUGGGGGGGUUGGUGGGGAAAACAUGGGAGGAUGGGAGGGCAAGGGAAUGGGGGGAUGGAUAUGUAAAUAUGAGCAGUAAUUAAAGAAUUUAAAUAAAAAAGAAAGCCACAUUUUCCUCCAAAAUCUUCAUGCAUUUGCUUUCCCAAUUUCUAUCCCCCUAGUAGAAAUGAACACAACCCAUUGCACACCCCAGACUUUUCAGGCUUUCCUGAUACAUGUUGGGAAGCACGCAGCUGAUGGGCUUCCAUAGUGUAGUAGGUGGGGGAAAUACUGUACUUUCCAACUGCUUUUAUGUACAGUUCAUGCAUUCUUUUUACCGGUCACAGUAGUCCAUGGGCUGAGUAAAAACCUUCAAUUCUCAUUUUAGAUUCUUAGACAUGAAGCCUUGCCCUGGCUGUCACUGCAAGUCAGUAUGCAUGUCAGCAGGGAGGGCCUUGAAUUUUCCCAAUUCUUUCCCUCACCUGGAAGGGCCAGCUGGGAGAGGACAAGGCCACUUGAGAAGGAACCUCCCCCAGGCUCUGCACAUCUUGAAUUUUUGCCAAGCAUGAAGAAUGACCUGAUUGGGGAGUUUAGUUUCUUUAUCUGACAUAGGUCCUCUUUCUGACCAAGCCAAGUUGGAGAAGGAGGAGACAGGUGGCCCAGGGUGUUGGCAUCAGGCCUGUUGGGAAGCUCUGGGCAUGGGAGAGCAUAAGUUCAGAGAGCUCUGUCCCUGUACUUCUUCCCAGCAUCCCAUCUGGAGGCUGGGGGAGGACAGAUCCAGGUGCUCUCACUGCCCUCUUGCAGUGUCCUUUGAGCUGUAAAUUCGUUUGCAAAUUACCCUGCUGCUUCAGUUGCAUAGGAAUAUUCACAAGAUGCUACUGUUACAUAGAACUUAACUUGAGCUACCAGGGAGGAGUAUUUGAUAGUCCAAGGUUAUCUUACUUCUUCCCAGUGGCUCUGCAGGAAAGUGGCUUUGUAUAGAGGUCAGAUGGAAAGUUCCACAGCCUAACAUACCCCAGACAGCCAAGGCUGGUUUGGGUGGAAUUCUUUGUAAGUGAUAAUGGCAGGCUUCAUGGGGGUUUACAUGGAUCAGGGGGUUUACAUGGAUCAGGGCUGCGUCUUACCCUGCAGCUAUAUGUAGCCACUGAGCCCUUAAGAGUGAGGCUCAGUUCAAUUCAGUAUUAGAAAACUUUGAACUGAUUUUAACAACUUGGCAGUUGAGAGUGCCUUUCGAUAGUAAAUUGUAGCUGGCCUUUCUUGUAGGACUUUCUUGUUGGACCACCAGAUCCCAAAUAAUAACACAGGAGACUUAUUAUUAAUUAUGAAAAGUUGGCCUUUGUUUAGACAUGUUUCCAACUAGCUCUUAUAACUUGAAUUAACCAAUUUCUAUUCAUCUAUGUUCCAUCACAUGGCUCUUGACUUCUCCUCCAUUCUGUACAUCCGACUCCCUCUGUGUCUCCUACACUACCAGAUUCUAACCCUGAGUUCCUCUCUCUGCCUGGAAGUCCCGCCUCUUCUCUUCUGCCUAGCUAUUGGUCAUUCAGCUCUUUAUUAAACCAAUGAGGUGCUUCAGGCAGGUAAGGUAAAUCAUAGGCACAUUUUCACACAGUGUGAUCAAAUAUCCUGCAACAGUAAAUUUUAUCAAAACUAAAAACCAAACAAGGGUUUCCUUUUGAAACAUUGUACUUUUAAUUACAUGUUUGUGUGAAUAGGUAUGUGCAUGUGAGUUCAGGUAUUGGAAGAGGCCAGAAGGAGGUGUCAGUCUCCUGGAGCUGGUGUUACCUGUGAUUGUGAGCUGCCCACCAUAGGUGCUGGGAAUUGAACUAGAGUCCUCAGCAAGAGCAGCAAGUGUUCCUCACUGUUGAGCCACCUCUCCAACCCCCGAUCAAAUGUUCUUAUGAAAUUUUUGUAACUUAAGUGAAAUUUGUUUUGAGUGGGAAAUAGACACUGGCUUUCAAUGAUAGAAUAUCUAAGAGAAUGAAAAGUAGUUCAAUGAUGUGUACACUGACAGCAUUCUAACAAGGGAAUUCCAGAUAAACAAAACAGAAUAUGAAAAUUCAUUUUUACCUGGUUUUAAUUUUUAUACUAUUUCAUACAGUUCCUAGAAAAUGGGAACUUCUUGGCUACUCACUCAUCCAUCCUUUUAUUAGGCAUUUAUUAAACACCUAAUACAUGGUAAGAAAGGAAAGUAGUUACAAAAUUCAGAAGGGUGACUUCUAAGCCUGCCCUACAUUGGAUGGAAUGAAUACAUCUGUAUGCCUGUGUGAAACUCCCUAAGAUGUAAUACUACUUAGGACAAAUAUUAAAAUCAACUUUUUUCUAAGCUUCAUGGACUAAACUCCUUGCUCAUUAAUCUGUUGAACCUAUGGCUUCAUGACAUUUGUAUAAAGCUCUGGUUUUCCUGUAAGUUUCUCACUCACUACAUUUAGUAGUGUUGGUUAAUGGAGAGAUCAUUUGUGGGAAAGAACACAGGCUGCUUGCC